AAUCAACGCUGGCGGCGUGCCUCAGACAUGCAAGUCGAACGCGAAAGCCCCCUUCGGGGGGCAAGUAGAGUGGCGCACGGGUGAGUAACACGUAGGUAAUCUACCUUUGGAUGGGGAAUAACCACCGGAAACGGUGGCUAAUACCGCAUAAUGCAGCGGCACCUAAUGGUGACAGUUGUUAAAGCGGGGGAUCGCAAGACCUCGCGUCUGAAGAGGAGCCUGCGGCAGAUUAGCUAGUUGGUAAGGUAAAGGCUUACCAAGGCGAUGAUCUGUAGCCGGCCUGAGAGGGCGGUCGGCCACACUGACACUGACAUACGGGUCAGACUCCUACGGGAGGCAGCAGUCGGGAAUUUUGGGCAAUGGGCGAAAGCCUGACCCAGCAACGCCGCGUGAAGGAUGAAAUCCCUCGGGAUGUAAACUUCGCAAGAACGGGAAGAAUAAGUCUGCGCAAAUAUCGCAGAUGAUGACGGUACCGUUUGUAAGCUCCGGCUAACUCCGUGCCAGCAGCCGCGGUAAUACGGGGGGAGCAAGCGUUAUUCGGAUUUACUGGGCGUAAAGGGCGCGUAGGCGGCCACCGCAAGUCGACUGUGAAAUCUCUGGGCUUAACCCAGAACGGUCAGCCGAUACUGCGGGGCUAGAGUGCAGAAGGGGCAACUGGAAUUCUCGGUGUAGCGGUGAAAUGCGUAGAUAUCAAGAGGAACACCUGC
rnacentral:rRNA from 1 species